rnacentral:rRNA from 1 species
UACGGAGGAUCCGAGCGUUAUCCGGAUUUAUUGGGUUUAAAGGGUGCGUAGGCGGCCUGUUAAGUCAGGGGUGAAAGACGGUAGCUCAACUAUCGCAGUGCCCUUGAUACUGAUGGGCUUGAAUGGACUAGAGGUAGGCGGAAUGUGACAAGUAGCGGUGAAAUGCAUAGAUAUGUCACAGAACACCGAUUGCGAAGGCAGCUUACUAUGGUCCGAUUGACACUGAGGCACGAAAGCGUGGGGAUCAAACAGGA